UACGUAGGGUGCAAGCGUUGUCCGGAAUUAUUGGGCGUAAAGAGCGCGCAGGCGGUCGUUCAAGUCGAGUGUGAAAGCCCCCGGCUCAACUGGGGAGGGUCAUUCGAUACUGAUCGACUUGAAGGCAGGAGAGGGAAGUGGAAUUCCCGGUGUAGUGGUGAAAUGCGUAGAUAUCGGGAGGAACACCAGUGGCGAAGGCGACUUCCUGGCCUGUUCUUGACGCUGAGGCGCGAAAGCUAGGGGAGCAAACGGG
rnacentral:rRNA from 1 species